GGCCUGAUGGUCUAGUAGUAUGAUUCCUUGUUAGGGUGUAUGCACACAAUCGAGGAGGUCCCGGGUUCAAUUCCCGGUUAGGCCC